ACGAACGCUGGCGGCGUGCCUCAUCCCUGCAAGUAGAACGCUGAAGGAGGAGCUUGCUUCUCUGGAUGAGUUGCGAACGGGUGAGUAACGCGUAGGUAACCUGCCUGGUAGCGGGGGAUAACUAUUGGAAACGAUAGCUAAUACCGCAUAAUAGUAGAUGUUGCAUGACAUUUGCUUAAAAGGUGCAAUUGCAUCACUACCAGAUGGACCUGCGUUGUAUUAGCUAGUUGGUGGGGUAACGGCUCACCAAGGCGACGAUACAUAGCCGACCUGAGAGGGUGAUCGGCCACACUGGGACUGAGACACGGCCCAGACUCCUACGGGAGGCAGCAGUAGGGAAUCUUCGGCAAUGGACGGAAGUCUGACCGAGCAACGCCGCGUGAGUGAAGAAGGUUUUCGGAUCGUAAAGCUCUGUUGUAAGAGAAGAACGAGUGUGAGAGUGGAAAGUUCACACUGUGACGGUAUCUUACCAGAAAGGGACGGCUAACUACGUG
rnacentral:rRNA from 1 species